CCUACGGGAGGCAGCAGUCGAGGAUAUUUAGCAAUGCCGGAAACGGUGACUAUGCGACGCCGCGUGUGUGAUGAAGGUCUUCGGAUUGUAAAACACUGUCAGCUGGGAGGAAUCUCGGGAGGCUGAAUGAGCCUGCCGGGUGACAGUACCAGCAGAGGAAGCCACGGCUAACUUCGUGCCAGCAGCCGCGGUAAUACGGAGGUGGCAGGCGUUACUCGGAUUGAUUGGGUGUAAAGGGCGUGUAGGCGGUGAAUUAAGUCGAAUGUGAAAUCCCUUGGCUCAACCAAGGAACUGCAUUCGAAACUGAUUUGCUUGAGUGAUGGAGAGGAAAGCGGAAUUCCCGGUGUAACAGUGAAAUGUGUAGAUAUCGGGAGGAACACCAGUGGCGAAGGCGGCUUUCUGGACAUCUACUGACGCUGAAACGCGAGAGCUAGGGGAGCAAACAGGAUUAGAUACCCUGGUAGUCCUAGCCGUAAACGAUGUUCACUAGGUGUCGGGCCCUCUGGGUUCGGUGCCGCAGUAAACACAUUAAGUGAACCACCUGGGGAGUACGGUCGCAAGACUGAAACUCAAAUGAAUUGACGG
rnacentral:rRNA from 1 species